AGCAUGCCGCGGUGAAUACGUUCUCGGGCCUUGUACACACCGCCCGUCACGCCAUGAGAGUUGGCAACACCCGAAGUCAGCAGGCAAACAGUGAAGCCGCUGCCGAAGGUGGGGUUGAUGAUUGGGGUGAAGUCGUAACAAGGUAGC
rnacentral:rRNA from 1 species